UCUUCUAGAAAGAUGCUCAGGAUGAACGCUGGCGGCGUGCUUAACACAUGCAAGUCGAGCGGAAAUAUGCAAUCGGAGAGCUUCGGCAGGAAGAUUACAUAUUUUAGCGGCGGACGGGUGAGUAACGUGUGGGCAACCUGCCCUGUACUGUGGAAUAAUCACUGGAAACGGUGACUAAUACCGCAUGUCAUUGCGAGAGGGCAUCCUCUUGCAAGAAAAGGAUUUAUUCGGUACAGGAUGGGCCCGCAUCUGAUUAGCUAGUUGGUGAGAUAACAGCCCACCAAGGCAACGAUCAGUAGCCGACCUGAGAGGGUGAUCGGCCACAUUGGGACUGAGACACGGCCCAAACUCCUACGGGAGGCAGCAGUGGGGAAUAUUGCACAAUGGGCGAAAGCCUGAUGCAGCAACGCCGCGUGAAGGAAGAAGGGUUUCGGCUCGUAAACUUCUAUCAACAGGGACGAAGAAAAUGACGGUACCUGAAUAAGAAGCCCCGGCUAACUACGUGCCAGCAGCCGCGGUAAUACGUAGGGGGCAAGCGUUAUCCGGAAUUACUGGGUGUAAAGGGAGAGUAGGCGGCAUGGUAAGUUAGAUGUGAAAGCCCGAGGCUUAACCUCGGGAUUGCAUUUAAAACUAUCAAGCUAGAGUACAGGAGAGGUAAGUGGAAUUCCUAGUGUAGCGGUGAAAUGCGUAGAUAUUAGGAAGAACACCAGUGGCGAAGGCGACUUACUGGACUGAAACUGACGCUGAGGCUCGAAAGCGUGGGGAGCGAACAGGAUUAGAUACCCUGGUAGUCCACGCCGUAAAUAGAUGAGUGCUAGGUGUCGGGGGGGAACCCUCGGUGCCGCAGCUAACGCAAUAAGCACUCCACCUGGGGAGUACGAUCGCAAGAUUAAACUCAAAGGAAUUGACGG
rnacentral:rRNA from 1 species